CUCUCCCCAAUUCAUCCGGUCUCGCAGGGGAGAGCCGACUUCGGCGGCGUCCCAAGCUCGCCGGCGAUGGCGGCGUGGUAGUUGCCCUCGUCGGAGCAGCGUGUAGCGGACCGAGUCCCGCGCGCUUCUCCGGCGAGCAUGGCUCUGGCGUCACGCACAUGGCAUCCCGUGUAUCGGACGGGAGGUUCCUUUUGCCAAUCAUUUCGCCGGCGGCUGGCGGUGCAAAGCGUUAAGGCGAUGUCGAUGAGCACCGUUCGACCUUGGUAGGGCAAGCAUCCACCAAUACAUGAAUUGGGACUCAGUUCUUCCCGCACGACGUCCCGAGAGACGGCAGCGUCGCUAGUGUCAGGAUCCCAAAGGAAACAAAUGACGCGGCAUCAUUAGGUGAGCCCCUUCAGAUUUUCUUCUUUCAUGUCAAAUUUUCGGCUACAAAUUUUGGGGAUUCAAUUUCUGGAGUUUUACAUUUGGGGAUUUUCAAUCUAGGGUCAGGGGAUUUUAGGAAAUUUGUAAUUCCCCUCCUACAUGUUGAACAUGACUUGAUUACCACUUGAACUUUGAGGCUUAGUUGGCAUACUAUCGAAAGGCAUUAGGAGGUGAGAAGACAAGAUCAUGGGGUGCACAUAACAACAUCAAUUCUUAACUUUGGACCCAUAUUUAGUUAAUUACUUGACUAUGACCAUUAUCACAUAAGAACAUAAUCAUUAGCACAUUAACAUAAACACUUUAGAUCUUAAAGACGAAUAAUUAGGACCAGAACAUGAGCAAUUAGACCCUGACAUGAGUUAUUAACAGUAAAACAAGGUCUAAUUGGGGUUCCAACCGAGAUUAACCUUGCUCUAGAUAUCAAUGUUAGAAAAAAUCCUUUUUGAUUAACAUUACUUGAUAUUAAUCUCGUAAUUAGAACACCUACAUGUGGGGAAGCGUGAGAACUUACAGGAACUGGGUGAAAUCCUGUGCCUGCUCGAUGGCAUGUAGCCCAUGACCGCACCUUGGAUCCUCCAGAACCGAUGAGAUGGCCGGGGUAUAAGUUCAACAACAAUCCAGUAGCGCCACUGGCUUGACCCUUGUCACAUCUGUUGGUCGGAGUAGACAUGCCGCCGGCACUGCCCUAGUGGUGGACGGCGGUAUUAGAUGGUCUUCAUAUCCUUUAGCACCUCUUUAGGAUCGGUUGUUAGAGAGAGGACGUGGCCUACUCAUGCCAGAUCAUUAGUUUCCAAUAGGAUGAGUCCUUUUCCUUUUGUAUUAGGUGCCAGGAGGCGGGAACGAGACCAAGUCGUUGGUUUGAUGCCCCCGAUCAGGGCAUACGUGGGAGAUUUAGCUCCCCCUUAUCUCUCAGUUUGUUACAACUGAAGAUUAAUUCCAACACAAGAGUCAUAAUAAGCACCACAUCAUGAUGGCAUAAAUGCUUUUGCGAUCAUCCAAAAUAACAUGUUGCAUUAGCAGUACCGAUAGCAAGAGCUAAAAUAUAAAUAAAAAAAACAUGACUCACAUAGUUCUUAUCUUCUUGCAUCUUGCUCAACGGUAUUGGUAAAAUGCUAUGUUUGAAGCAAAGCAGAGUAAGCUCCAUAUAAUAUUGCCCCUUAAUGUUUGCCAUUCCUAACAACUUGUCACCAAUGUCGCAACGCAAGACAUUUUUAUCACUAAACCCGGCGAGGAUGCCACACUCGUUGACCAUAACCAGCUCACUGAGAAAUUUCGGAGCAACAUGGGUUUCCAUCUUCUUUUGCCUUUUAUUUUCCAUCUUGGGGGAAGCUAAAUUAAGUGUCAUUGAUGCCUGUAUUGAUGACACAUCAAUCCGUAACUUCAGGUCCCAUGUUUCUGCCGCAUAGUCCUCCAUCACCCAGACAUUCAUAUAUGUCAAACGCCUAUCAUGACUACUUAAAGCAAGCUUCCCCUCCAAGUCAAACAACUUCUCCAAACUGUGCGAGUUUGUCGCAUUGCGCGUCAACCAAAACGACUCAGUAGUGGUGUCGAAAGCAACAAUCUCGGCACGACACGUGGGCAUCCAGGGCUACUAAUGCAGGUUGCCACGGUGGAUUAUAUGCGGAAUAGGGACCUCGUGGUAGCGCAUCGAGUGCCGCAUGUUGUAGUAAAGGCUUGUCACCGUGGAAAGUUCAAUGUCCCCGGACUCCUUGUCUCCCAUCGUGUGCACAUGUAGCAUAAUUUCAUUCCUGAAGCACCCCGAGGACUAGAGCACCCUGUAUUCCCCGGUUGCAUCGUGUCGGUAAAGGCCAAGUAUGGUGUUAUAUAGCCGGAAUUUAGGCUGCGGCUGGGGAGCAAUCUGGUGGAUGGCCGGGUUGCAUAUGUAGUACCUUGAGCCCAGCUGGUAGUGGGAGACCAUGAGGAUGCCAUGGGCUGCAGCUUGGAGUCUAACCAAAGGGAGCAAGCGCCAGAGCUGUUGAUAGGCCAUGCCGUCGACGGAGCCAGAGAGGAUGCCGAGGUGCCCUCCUUCACCCCUGAACGAUAGGCGACGACAACUGGAGGCGCUGGUGAUUGAGCAUGAACUCAGGCGUGGUCGUGGCGCUGCGCCACGAUGAGAGGACGGCGCGGCAGCGACCGACAUCCUUGGGCUUAAGCAGCACGAGUAUCUUGUCAACGAGGAUCUCCUCGGGCAGGUCAUCCAGCUCUUUUUCCGCGUCAUCGUUGGUGCUCCAGCCGGCGGGUCGGCUGAAAUAAAAAGGGGUCAGUGACCCGCCUGGAGCACCGGCGAUGAUGCAGAAGAAGAGCAGGACCGAGCUGGAUGACCUGCCCAUGGAGAUCCUCGUCGACAAGAUACUCGUGCUGCUGCAACCCAAGGACGUCGGCCUCUGCCUCGCCGUCCACUGUCGUGGCGCAGCGCGACCUCCACACCAGAGUUCAUGCUCGAUCACCACCGCCGCCAGCCGUCGUUGCCCAUCAUCGAGAGAGAAGGAUGCCGCCUCAGCGUCUUUCGUGGUCCCAUGGACAACAUGGCUUGUCAACGACUCUGGCCAAGCUCGUGUUGGUCAAUGUCCACGUUACCGGCCAUGGCUUCCUCAUGGUCUCCCAGUGCUAGCUAGGUUCGAGGUACUACAUAUGCAACCCGGCCACCCGUCAGAUUGCUCCCAUGCCACAACCUGAAUACAAGGCCAAGAACGCCAUGCUCGGCCUCUACCGGCAUGAUGCAACCAGGGAAUACAACGUGCUCUGGUCCUUAGUCGGCUGCGGUAGGAAUGAUACCAUGCUACAUGUCCUCACAGUGGGAGAGAACGAUUCCAGGAACAUCGGACUGUCGACGGCAUCAUCACAUUCGCUACAAAAGGCAGUACUCGACGUGCUUGAUGGAUAUAAUUCACCAGUCCACCACAUUGGCAACCUCGACAGGAAACCCUGGCUGCCCACGUGUUGUGUUGAUAUUUUUGCUUUCGACACCGCUACCGAGUCGUCCCGGUUGAUGCGCAAUGUGACACAUUUGCACAAUUUGGACAAGUUAUUUGACUUGGAGGGGAAGCUUGCUCUCAGUAGUCAUGAUACCCGCUUGACAUAUAUGGAUGUAUGUGGCAGAAAUAUGGGACCUGAAGUACCAGAUUGACGUGUCAUCAAUACAGGCAUCACAACCACUUAAUUUAGCUUCGCUCAAGAAGAUGGGAACCCAUGUUGCUCCAACCAUGUGAUUUCUCAGUGGGCUGGUUAUGGUCAUACUAUUUGAACCACAUGAAAAACAUUAGGUAAAUCCUAAAUCCUUACCCACGUCGUCCUCAUUAAAAUGGCAGGAUUCUCCAUGUGAUCUCAGACGUUACCAAGUGACAGUAUAUCGGUUGGUCUUAAACUGGCCAUACUUAUACCCUUGAUGAUAGACCUAAAGCAUUUAAGUGGACCGAGAAAAGCACAUUCCUGUUGGACACGAAGAACAACUCGCAUACACACCCGGUGAUACUCUAAUGAUACAACCAGAAUGCCAACUUCAUUCUCUAAACAAACUCUUUUCCGGUUGUAUCAACUAUAUGUACAUUUUUGAUUUGUGGUUACAUCACUAAAUCAAAAACAUAAGGAGAGGAACUAGUGUCCGCUUUUCAAUAAUUUGAGGAAUUCCGUGGUUGAACACCCUUGAUGCCACUAGUGCAUCUUAAUGGCACAAAUUGAACAAAAAUCUGGGCUUCACGUGGAAAUUAGAAUACACUAACAUUGAUACUACAUAAUUCAAAGCAUUACUACAUUGUUCAAGAUAAUAAAAAAAUCCUUUAGGAUUAACAUCAGUUGAUAUUAAUCUCGUGAUUAGAACACCUACACAAGCGGAAGCGUGCGAACUUACAGGAAUUGGGAGAAAUUCUUUGCCUGGUCUAUGGCGUGUAGCCCAUGGCUGCACCUUGGAUCCUCCAGAACCGAUGAGGUGGUCGGCAAAGAAGUACAACGGCAAUCCAGUAGCGCCACUGGCUUGACCGUCGUCGCAUCCGUUGGAGAUGCAACAGUUGGUCGGAGUAGACGUGCCGCUGACACUGCUCUGGUGGUGGCCAGUGGUGGUAGACGGUCUUUGUCUCCUUUAGCACCUCUUUAGGAUUGGUUGCUAGAGAGAGGAUGUGGCCUACCCAUGUGACAUCGAUAGUUUCCAAUAGGAGGAGUCCUUUUCCUUUUGUAUUAGGUGCCAGGAGGCGGGACCGAGACCAAGUCAUUGGUUUGAUGCCCCCCGAUCAGGGAAUGCACGCCGGAGAUUUAGCUCCCCCUUAUCUCUCAGUUUGUUACAACUGAAGAUUAAUUCCAGCAUUCUCCCCUUAAUCGUAAGGUUAAAAACAUCAUAAGCCCACUCUCAAUAGAAAUAAAAUUCCAAAGUAAAGUGUUUCAAUGACUAAUGAAAUGCCAAUGAAACUCGAUACUUAUAGUACAUCAUUCUAUCUCAAAAUGGAUAACAUAUUACUUUAUGGAGUUGGUUUAUUUAACAAUCCUUAUUUCCAGGAUAAAAAAGCUUUCUAAACCCAUGACGACAACAUAAUCAUAAAAGAAUGGUUGGUAGGCCUUCAGUGAGCCGAACCGCAAAACUUAUAUAAAUCAAAUAGCAUAUGUUGAUCCUGGACUCUAUCUUUCACAACAUAAAACAUAAUGUCAAUGGUUUUGGCAAACCAGUUGAUUCGUUGUUACUUGCAUAGAGUAUUGUGUGUUCAUAAUUGCAGUAAGUGGUCUAGAUAUGCUGUCUACCACGCUUAACUUUGGGAUAAGAUUCUUUCGACAUACAACCUGCCCAGUGGCCUCUUAAUAUGCUACAUAAUAACUUGCAUCAUACUAAUGCCAUCAAUGUCAUACUGGAGCUUCUCCACGAUAUACCUCCAUAUGUGAGGGUGAGGAUGCAACAUGACGUGGAAACUUAAUAUCCCACACACCUUGCAAAAAUAAUGUCUAAAUAACCUACGAUAUCAAGGUUAUCAUACAUCUUAUUAGUGAGCAUGUAAACAUUAUUGCCUUGCAUCUACUGCUAGACUUUUGAUUGGCCUUUCCAGUGGUCCAUUUUUGGACUUACUCGUACAUUUGCCAAUUAUCCCGAUCAUAAAUAGCACAUGUUCAUACUUGAAUACACAUAUUGCUUCCGACAGCUGAAGCGUAAGGAACUAACAUUAUCUGAUCAGUUCAUAAUGGUUUCUCGGACACUAAAAUGUCCACUUUUAUUUCCCUUCACUUUAGUAGCAGGUGAGAUAGAGUAGUAGUACAUCUAUCUUUUUAUCUUUCGUACUCUAUCGAAGUAUGUCAUCAUAAUCAAACUUAUACUCCUUUCGGACAUAUAUCUUGGCGAAACUCAAUACAAGCAUAGUAUCGGGCAUCACCAAGAUAUGUCAUAAAUAGAAGAUAAAAAAUUACCUGGCUCGCCAAAAUAUUCCAUCUCCACAAGGUAGUGAUCUUACCCCCUUGUCUUAUAGUAUGAGUGCCCCAACGCUUGUAUUAUCUCAUAAUUGUAUUUCUUUAGAUAACAUGCCUUAUGUCAACUUUUCUUUUCAUGACAAAAACUUCUGUUUGAGCCACAUAAACAUUCCUAAUUUAAGUCAACAUAAAAGCAUGUCAUGAUGAUAAAACAAACAUCUCGAAAAUUCCUUAGUCCAGACAAGAAGAAAUAUUUCAUGUGACAAAAUAAGUCUUUUGGUAAUAAUCAUCUAAUAUUUAAAGAUUUUCCUUGAUAAAAUUUUGAUUUGUAAAGCCAUUUAUAGCCUCAAUAAUUAACUGAUUUAAUAAACUCUAAUAUGUUUCAUACGCCAUAAGAGCUCAUAGCCUUCAUCCUAAAUGGCAACAAGCCAAUAAGCUGAACAUUCACACACAUUAUUUAUCACAAGGAAAUGAUGAGGUUCAAUACUAGGUGUUGCAUUAGUGAUUUCAUAAUCCUCAAUCCACCUGAUAGAAAACAAGGAUACCAUGAAUAAUAAAUUUCACCUCGAGUUUUGUAUUCUUAUGCUCCAAGUUCCCAUUAAUUACUUUAUUCCCAUAGAACAUAUAUCAUGCUCUAGAGUCUAAUGACAUACUGCAUCACCAUAGGGCAGAAGACAGAAAAGAACUAAUGAUGUGUGGCACACGAUUAUAAACAACGUUGGUCAGAAAUAUAAUCAUAAGCCACAUGUUAUAUUAAUAUCCUUAUCGACAUUAGACUGGCAAAUUUGCCACUUUAACAUUAAUGUGUGUUUCAUACUACUCAUAAGAGGUAAGUACACAUAAUAAACAUAAUAAAAGGAGUUGAAACAUCAGUGUGACUUUUAAUCAUUCUUCCAAAUAAGACUUGUUGCAUCUUAAUCAUAGAAUUGACUUUCUUGUGUGCUUUUCAUACAUUCUCCAAACAAGAUUUCUCUUUGGUUCCAUCUUAAUUAGAGAAUUAACAUGCAUAUUUUUCUUAAUUUAUAUGUUAUGAUGUAAGUGGGAGAAGUGGGUGUGAUAUCUCAUAUGGAUGAGAGUUCCAUUCUCCCCCUCGAAAUGUAGUCUAGAACCACAAUUUCGACGAGGUCCCGUUAUCUACACUUGUCUUGCGUCUUUAGUUGUAACAUAACACAUAAUCCUUACAAAUGAUCCAUUAAGUGAAAACACAACUUGUCUCGCUAGGGCGGGACUAAUAUCACAUAAUUGGAGUUAACUUCAGAAUACACUUAAAACAUACAUAAUCAAUGUCACCUUUCAGUGAGACAAAAAUUAAGGUUCUCCAAUAACUUGAAGUGUAAACAAACAUCAUAUAAGAUGAAGAAUGAAGCCAUCUCCAAAUGCUAGUGAUAUAAAUCCAAAAGCUUUGCCUUUAGUCUCCUUUUUUUUGGUGAAAGGCACAUAACACUCCCAAUUUCUACCUUAACAUCAUGAUUAAAAUUUUCAACAUCAUUGAUAGAAAUUGUGGGAGCUUCAUAUAUGAGACUUGAAUCUCUACUCUCCAUGGGGAAAAGUAAGUUAUGGACUAUGCCAGAAAAAGUUGGCAUCAUCAUUAAUGUUCAUAGCUGAAAAGAACAACGAGAAAUUUAUAGAACACCAUAAUGAAAACAUCAAGCAUGAAUUAAUCAUACAAUAAGAUGAAUUAAAGACAUGCUUAAUUGUUAUUCUAAUCUACAUCGCCGUUGGGCAAGAAAUAAAAUAGAACCUUAUUUAUUCAUAGAUGAAACAUGAAAGAUAAUCAACAUUGGUAAGAAUAUUACCAUGUGCCACUAUAACAUUUGCUAAUUAAAUCUCUAAUCAAAACUUUUCGUUGGUUCCAUUUUGACUAGAGAAACAUAAAAUCACAUAAUGAUCGGCAAGAAUAUGAGAUAAAUUAAUAGCAAUAAUUAACAUAAAGCAACAAUAUAGUGCAAUCCCAUUUGUCAUGAGACACAAGGAUUCAUAACCUGUUGUACACAUUUUAACUUAAAUUUGACACUUCAUUAACACUCAAAAUAACAUCAAACAUAUGUGUCAGAUUUAUCUUCAAAGUUCCCAAUGACAUAUAGUGAAAAUGCCAUUAGAAUUAAAAUCAAUAAUAUCGAUAAAAUUACCAUCGAGUAAACAUUAAACUUGACUUUCAAAGUAAAAAUGCCUUUAUAUUAAUCAUCAUAAAAUUUUCCAAAUUGUAAAAUUUGGACAUCAAAAUUACAUCAAGAUUCAUAUUUGUCAAAUAAAUGACCACUUGAUCUUUCAAAAAAUAAACAAAUCCCUAAACAAAAUAUAUUGUUAAGGGAAUUGACAAUAGUUUCAUUACUUUGAGUCAACGGUGCAUAUCAUAAUAAGAUGACUCAAAAUGCACCAACUAAUAACUAUACUUUUUCUCAAUAGGCAUAUCAGCUAAAAAAUAAAUAGUGCCACACGGUGUGGUGCAGAAAACCGAGCCAUGCGGCCAUCAACAUUAUACUUGAGGUGGCCUUAGCCCAUUAGUAACAAUCACUUCAUUAAGAAAAGUGCCGUAAGAAUGACAAUUACAUAAACUUUACACUCAAAUAAGAUAUUACCAAAAUUAAAUGAGUGACUAACAAAUGUGCUCAACAUUAAUUUCAUUUCUCAUUAUUACAUUUCAAGAUUAGAAUGGUACUAAAAAGGGAUCAUAAAAAAUGCCAUAAAAAUGCCAUUACCAUUCAUUGCUUAUUAAUUUUCUAAGUAAAACUUCUCGUUGGUUCCAUUCCACUCAAAAAACUAAACCAUAAUUUACAACAUUAUUUUCUAGCAAUUUUCACUUUUAUAAUAGUGCAAAACCCCUUCUCGAAUAAUUAUAAUACUAAAAAUGCACUCACCAAGAGAAAAAAAGAGCAAAACAUGACCUUGGCACAAUACCACGCACGACAAUCCGUUAAUAACUCAGCCCAACAGAGAAAAUCAUCAAAUGAAAACACGUUUUUUCUGUGGGCUAAGACAACUUAGUUCGUAGCCCACUGCAAUACUUAGCCUGUUAAGCACUGGCAGCUCGAGCUGAGCUCUGUGCCGAUCUCAGCCGUCUGAUUGAAUCGACGGCCUGGAUCAGCACAACACUGAACAAAACUAGCAACCGUAAAGAACCCUAGGGUCAUUUUCCCCUUCCUCGCCCUGAUUCAUCCGGUCUCGCAGGGGAGAGCCGACCUCGCCGGCUUCCCAAGCUCGCUGGCCAUGGCGGCGUUAUAGCUGCCCUCGCAGGAGUAGCAUGCAGCGGACCGAGUCCCAUGCGUUCCUCCUUGCGAGCAUGGCUCCGGUGUCGCGCACAUGGCAUCUAGUGCAUCGGACGGGAGGUCCCUUUUGCGGAUCAUUUCGCCGCUGUCUGUCGGCACAAAGCUCUAAGUUGGCAUCGACGAGCAAGGUUUGAUCGACCAUGGCAGGGCGAGCAUCCACAAGUACAUCAACUUGGACACGGUUCUUCCCGCACGACAUCCUAAGAGAUAGCAGCAUCGCCGAUGUCGGGAUCCCGAUGGAAACAACGACUCGGCGUUAUUAGGUGAGCCCCUUCACCUUUUUCUCCUUUCAUGUCAACUUUUGGGCUAGAAAAUUUUGGGGAUUCGAUUUUUGGAGUUCUACAUUUGGGGAUUUUCAAUCUAGGGUCAGGGGAUUCCAGGAAAUUUGCAAUUCCCCUCCUACAUGGUGAACUUGACUUGAUUACCACUUGAACUUUGAGGCUUAGUUGGCAUACAACUGAAAGUCAUUAGGUGGUGAGAAGACAAGAUCAUGGGGUGCGCAUAACAACAUCAGAUCUUAACUUUGGACCGAUAAUCAGUUAAUUACUAGAUCAUGACCAUUAUCACAUAAGAACAUAAUCAAUAUCACCUUAACUUAACCACUUUAGAUCUUAAAGAUGAAUAAUUAGGACCAGAACUUGAGCAGUUAUACCCUGACAUGAGGUAUUAACAGUAAAAUAGGGUCUUAUCAGAGUUCCAACCGAGAUUAACCUUGAUCUAGAUACCAAUGUUAGAAAAAAAUCCUUUAGGAUUAACAUUACUUGAUAUUAAUCUCAUGAUUAGAACACCUACAUGAGCGGAAGUGUGAGAACUUACACGAACUGGGCAAGAUCCUGUGCCUGCUUGAUGGCGUGUAGCCCAUGGCUGCACCUUGGAUCCUCCAAAACCAAUGAGAUGGCCGGGGAAGAAGUACAUCAGCAUUCCAGUAGCACCGCUGGCUUGACCCUCGUUGCAUCCAUUGGAGAUGCAACAGCUGGUCGGAGUAGAUGUGCCGCCGACAUUGCGCUAGUGGUGGCCGGUGGCGGUAGACGGUCUUCGUCUCCUUUAGCACCACUUUAGGGAGAGGACGUGGCCUACCGAUGUGGAAUCGUUAGUUUCCAAUAGGAGGAGUCCCUUUCCUUGUGUAUUAGGUGCCAGGUGGCGGGACCGAGAUCAAGUCAUUGGUUUGAUGCCCCCCGAUCAGGGCAUGUACGUAGAAGAUUUAGCUCCCCUUUAUCUCUCAGUUUGCUACAACUGAAGAUUAAUUCCAACACAAGAGUCAUAAUAAGCACCAUAUCAUGAUGGCAUAAAUGGUAUUGCGACCAUCCAAAAUAACAUGUUGUAGUAGCAGUACCGAUAGCAAGAGCUAAAAUAUAAAUGAAAAAACAUGCCUCACAUAGUUCUUCUCUUCUUGCAUCUUGUUUAACGAUAUUGGUAAACUGCUGUGUUUGAAGUGAAUCGGAGUAAGUUCCAUAUAAUAUGGCCCUUAAUAUUUGCCAUUCCUAACAACUUGUCACCAAUGUCGCAAUGAAAACAUGUUUAUCACUAAACCCAGCCAGGAUGCCAUGCUCGUUGACCAUAACCAGCUCACUGAGAAAUUUCGGAGCAACAUGGGUUCCCAUCUUAUCUUGCCUUUUAUUUUCCAUCUUGGGGGAAGAUAAAUUAAGUGUCAUUGAUGCCUGUAUUGAUGACACAUCAAUCCGUAACUUCAGGUCCCAUGUUUCUGCCGCAUAGUCCUCCAUCACCGAGACAUUCAUAUAUGUCAAGUGCCUAUCAUGACUACUUAAAGCAAGCUUCCCCUCCAAGUCAAACAACUUCUCCAAACUAUGCGAGUUUGUCGCAUUGCGCAUCAACCAGAACGACUCAGUAGUGGUGUCGAAAGCAACAAUCUCGGCACGACACGUGGGCAUCCAGGGCAACCAAUGCAGGUUGCCAUAGUGGAUUAUAUGCGGAAUAGGGACCUUGUGUCAGCGCAUCGAGUGCUGCAUGUUGUAGUAAAUGCUUGUCACCGUGGAAAGUUCAAUGUCCCCGGACUCCUUGUCUCCCAUCGUGUGCACAUGUAGCGUAAUUUCAUUUCUGAAGCACCCCGAGGAUUAGAGCACCUUGUAUUCCCCGGUUGCAUCGUGUCGGUAAAGUCCAAGUAUGGUGUUAUAUAGCCAGAAUUCAGGCUGCGGCUGGGGAGCAAUCUGGUGGAUGGCCGGGUUGCAUAUGUAGUACCUUGAGCCCAGAUGGUAGUGGGAGACCAUGAGGAAGCCAUGGGCUAUAGCUUGGAGACUAACCAACGGGAGCAAGCGCCAGAGAUGUUGAUAGGACAUGCUGUCGACGAAGCUAGAGAGGAUGCCGAGGUGCCCUCCUUCACCCCUCGACAAUAGGCAGUGACAGCUGGAGGCGCUGGUGAUUGAGCAUGAACUCAGGCGUGGUCGUGGCGCUGCACCACGACGAGCGGACGGCGCGGCAGCAACCGACGUCCUUGGGCGGCAGCAACACGAGUAUCUUGUCAACAGGAUCUCCUAGGGCAGGUCGUCCAGCUCUUUUUCUGUGUCAUCAUCGGUCCUCCAGCUGGCGGGUCGGCUGAAACAAACAAAGGCGUCAGUGACCCGCCCGGAACACCGGCAAUGAUGCAGAAGAAGAGCAGGAUCGAGUUGGAUGACCUGUCCCUGGAGAUCCUUGUCGACAAGAUACUCGUGCUACUGCAGCCCAAGGACGUCGGCCACUGCCGUGCCAUCCACUGUUGUGGCGCAGCGCGACCUCCACACCCGAGUUCAUGGUUGAUCACCACCGCCGCCAGCCGUCGCUGCCCAUCAUCGAGAGAGAAGGACGCCGCCUCAGCGUCUUUCGUGGUCACAUGUACAACAUGGCCUGUCAACAACUCUGGCCCAAGCUCCUAUUGGUCAAUCUCCAUGCUACCGGCCGUGUCUUCCUCGUGGUCUCCCAAUGCCAGCUAGGGUCGAGGUACUACAUAUGCAACCCGGCCACCCGCCAGAUUGCUCCCAUGCCACAACCUGAAUACAAGGCCAACAACGCCAUACUCGGCCUCUGUCGGCAUGAUGCAACCAGGGAAUACAACAUGCUCUGGUCCUCAGCUGACUGCGGCAGGAAUGAUACCACGCUACAUGUCCUCACAGUGGGAGACAACGAUUCCAGGAACAUUGGACUAUCGACGGCAUCAUCACAUUCGCUACAAAAGGCGGUACUCAACGCGCUCCAUGGAUAUAAUGCACCGGUCCACCACCGUGGCAACCUCCAGUGGAAGCCAUGGAUGCCCACGUGUCGUGUUGAGAUUGUUGCUUUCGACACAGCCACCGAGUCGUUCCAGUUGAUGCGCAAUAUGACAAAUUCGCACAAUUUGGAUACGUUGUUUGACUCGGAGGGGAAGCUUGUUCUCAGUAGCCAUGAUAGCCGCUUGACAUAUAUGGAUGUCUGGGUGAUGGAGGACUAUGUGGCGGAACUAUUUGGGCCUGAAGUACCGGAUUGAUGUGUCAUCAAUAUAGGCAUCAAGGAAAACAAAAGGAAUAAGAAGAUGGGAACCCAUGUUGUUCCAACCAUGCGAUUUCUUAGUGGGCUGGUUAUGGUUUAGUGAUAAACAUCUCUUGCGUUGCAACAUUGAUCACAAGUGGUCAUGAAUGGCAAACAUUAAGGGACAAUAUCAUGUGGAGCUUACUCCGCAUCGCUUCAAACAGGGCAUUUUACCAACACCGACGACUUGAGAUGCAAGAAGAUAAGAACUAUGUGAGUCAUGCUACAACAACAUUAGAGUAUGAUCGGGUCUUUAUGCUUGUUAUUCUUCGUGUCCAACAUUAAUCUGCUUUCUUUGGUCCAGUUAAAUGCUUUAGGUCUAUGAAGUGUGGCCAAUUUUAGAGCAACCGAUAUAUUUUCAUGUGGUAACAUCUGAGAUCACGUGGAAAAUCCUACCAUUUUAGUGAUGAUGGUGUGGGUAAGGAUUUAGGAUUUGCCUAAUCUUUUUCAUGUGGUUCACACAGUAAAUGCAGAAACUUUCCCUUAUUAUUCUCUGGGCAUUUAAUCGUGGUUUGGCUUGACGCAAAAGAUCGUGCCUGCAGUUCAAAAUUGAACUUAGUUUUGGGAAUAUGUUAGAGUGCAUGCUGGUAUUCAAGUAGCACUGAGUAUUCACAAGCUAUGGUGCAUAUUGAUAGAAUUGGCAUCUGCCAGGAAAAGGGCAUUGUCUCAGGAAGUGGGCUGGUUAUGGUCAUACGUACUGGUUGCUUGAUUCUGCAUUCAUAAUACAAUUCAUUGAAAGAAAUGGUUGACUUGUUCAAUUAAUCAUAAAAUUGUGGUUAUUUGUAGCUAGAGGAAACAAUUAUAUAUGGUUUCACAUGUUCUGGAAGACAUGGCCCUCAAAGUAGACAUGUUCUGGAAGCGUGGGUGUAGUUUGAAUUCCGGAUUGCCAUAAUCUGUACCUCAAAUAGAUGUAGUGUUACAACAUAGGUAUCUUCUGAAAUAAUCAACUUUGAUAUCUACACUACUAGCUUGUGCUUACCCAUAAUGUACCUUAGCUAGACAGAUAGUAAGAGCAACCCCAAUGGGGCGACCCAAACGGACCGUGAUUUCAUCUGUUUUUUAUCCAUUUGGGUCUGCCGCCCGUCCGGCGUCCGCCCUGUUUUAGAUAUGGGUCGGCAGCACGCCCAACGUGCCGACCCAUAUGUGCCGGCGUGGCGGCUGGCCGCCCACCCUAAUUUACAUUUAAACAUAUAGUCAAAUAACAUAGUUUGAACCGUAUAAAAUAGCAUAGUUCUACAAGCCGAAUAAAAAUAAAAAUGUCUCACAUAGUUCCGCAAACGAAUAAAAGAAGAUACAUUUAUUGGGUGCCAACAUGAGCCCACAUAUGCUCAACCAAAUCAUUUUGCAGUUGUACAUGAGUUUCCCAAUCAUGCAUGUCUUGAUGAAAUUGGGUGAACUAUUCAAACGUUGCCGCUCCUCCAUGCUCAGGCACAACAUUCUCACCUUGAAACUGAAACCCUUGAUCGUGCAGACGUUCCAGGCGCUCGUCUUAUAUGAUCAUAUUGUGCAUGAUCACACAAGCAGUCAUCACCUCCCACAGUUUUUGCGUGCUCCGAGUAUUAGCAGGAUACCGAACGAUGCCCCAUCGAGAUUGCAAAACACCAAAGGCACACUCGAUGUCCUUCCUAGCAUUCUCUUUCUCUUGGGCAAAUCUUUUCCUCUUCUCUCCGACAGGGUUGGGUAUUGUCUUGACAAUAGUGGUCCACUGAGGAUAGAUACCGUCACCCAGGUAGUAUCCUUUGUCGUAGUUGUGGCCGUUGACAGUAAAGUUCACCGGUGGGCUGUUGCCUUUGGCAUGCCUAGCAAACACCGGCGAGCGCUGAAGUACGUUGAUAUCAUUGUGUGAUCCGACCAUGCCAAAGAAAGAGUGUCAGAUCCAGAGAUCUUGAGACGCCACGACCUCUAGUAUGACACUACAAGCCCUGACAUAGCCCUUAUACUGGCCUUGCCAAGCAGAAUGGCAGUUCUUCCACUCCCAGUGCAUGUUGGGGAAUGUAGUAAUUUCAAAAAAUUUCCUACGCACACGUAAGAUCAUGGUGAUGCAUAGGGGAGAGUGUUGUCCACGUACCCUCGUAGACCGUAAGCGGAAGCGUUAGCACAACGCGGUUGAUGUAGUCGUACGUCUUCACGAUCCGACCAAUCCAAGUACCGAAUGUACGGCACCUCCGAGUUGAGCACACGUGCAGCUCGAUGACGUCCCACGAACUCUGAUCCAGCAGAGCUUUGCGGGAGAGUUUCGUCAGCAUGACGGCGUGAUGACCGAUGCAGGGCUUCGCCUAAGCACCGCUACGAUAUUAUCGAGGUGGAAUAUGGUGGAGGGGGCACCGCACACGGCUAAGAGAUCAAGAGAUUAAUUGUUGUGUCUAGAGGUUCCCUCCUGCCCCCGUAUAUAAAGGAUCAAGGGGGAGGGGCGGCCGGCCAGGAGGAGGCGUGCCAGGGAGGAGUCCAACUCCCACCGGGAGUAGGACUCCCUCCUUUCCUAGUUGGAGUAGGAGGGGGAAGGAAGGGAGAGAGGAGAGGAAGGAAAGGGGGGGGGGCGCCUCCCCCCUCCUUGUCCUAUUCAGACUACAGGGGGAGGGGGCGCGCGGCCUACCCUGGCCGCCCCUCCUCUUCUCCACUAAGGCCCAUUAGGCCCACUAAAUCCCCCCGGGGGGUUCCGGUAACCCCCCGGUACUCUGAUAUAAGUCCGAAUCCUCCCGAAACACUUCCAGUGUCCGAACAUAGUCAUCCAAUAUAUUGAUCUUUACGUCUCGACCAUCUGGAGACUCCUCGUCAUGUCCGUGAUCAUAUCCGGGACUCCGAACUACCUUCGGUACAUCAAAACACAAAAACCCAUAAUAGCAAUCAUCACCGAACUUUAAGCGUGCGGACCCUACGGGUUCGAGAACUAUGUAGACAUGACCGAGACACGUCUCCGGUGAAUAACCAAUAGUGGAACUUGGAUGCUCAUAUUGGCUCCUACAUAUUCUACGAAGAUCUUUAUCGGUCAAACCGCAUAACAACAUACGUUGUUCUCUUUGUCAUCGAUAUGUUACUAGCCCGAGAUUCGAUCGUCGGUAUCUCAAUACCUAGUUCAAUCUCGUUACCAGCAAGUCUCUUUACUCGUUAUGUAAUGCAUCAUCCCACAACUAACUCAUUAGUCACAUUGCUUGCAAGGCUUAUAGUGAUAUGCAUUACCGAGAGGGCCCAAAGAUACCUCUCCGACAAUCGGAGUGACAAAUCCUAAUCUCGAAAUACGCCAACUCAACAAUUACCUUAGGAGACACCUGUAGAGCACCUUUAUAAUCACCCAGUUACGUUGUGACGUUUGGUAGCACACAAAGUGUUCCUCCGGUAAACGGGAGUUGCAUAAUCUCAUAGUCAUGGGAACAUGUAUAAGUCAUGAAGAAAGUAAUAGCAACAUACUAAAUGAUCAAGUGCUAAGCUAACGGAAUGGGUCAAGUCAAUCACAUCAUUCUCUAAUGAUGUGAUCCCGUUAAUCAAAUGACAACUCAUGUCUAUGGCUAGGAAACUUAACCAUCUUUGAUUCAACGAGCUAGUCAAGUAGAGGCAUACUAGUGACACUUUGUUUUGUCUAUGUAUUCACACAUGUACUAAGUUUUCGGUUAAUACAAUUCUAGCAUGAAUAAUAAACAUUUAUCAUGAAAUAAGGAAAUAAAUAAUAACUUUAUUAUUGCCUCUAGGGCAUAUUUCCUUCAGUCUCCCACUUGCACUAGAGUCAAUAAUCUAGUUCACAUUACCAUGUGAUUUAACACCAAUAUUCACAUCUGUAUGUGAUUAAUAUCCAUAGUUCACAUCAUCAUGUGAUCAACACCCAAAGGGUUUACUAGAGUCAAUAAUCUAGUUCACAUGACUAUGUGAUUAACACCCAAAGAGUACUAAGGUAUGAUCAUGUUUUGCUCGUGAGAGAAGUUUAGUCAACGGGUCUGUCACAUUCAGAGCCGUAUGUAUUUUGUAAAUAUUCUAUGUCUACAAUGCUCUGCACGGAGCUACUCUAGCUAAUUGCUCCCACUUUCAAUAUGUAUCCAGAUUGAGACUUAGAGUCAUCUGGAUCGGUGUAAAAGCUUGCACCGAUGUAACUCUUUACGACGGGCUCUUUUAUCACCUCCAUAAUUGAGAAAUAUUUCCUUAGUCCUCACUAAGGAUAUUCUUGAUCGCUGUCCAGUGAUCUACUCCUAGAUCAAAAUUGUACUCCCUUGCCAAACUCAGAGCAAGGUAUACAAUAGGUCCGGUACACCGCAUAGCAUACUUUAUAGAACCUAUGCCUGAGGCAUAGGGAAUGACUUUUCAUUCUCUUUCUAUUUUCUGCCAAGGUCGGGUUUUGAGUCUUACUCAACUUCACACCUUGUAACACAUGCAAGAACUCCUUCUUUGACUAUUCCAUUUUGAACUACUUCAAAAUCUUACCAAGGUAUGUACUCAUUGAAAAAUCUUAUCAAGCGUCUUGAUCUAUCUCUAUAGAUGCUGAUGCUUAAUGUGUAAGCAGCUUCACCGAGGUCUUUCUUUGAAAACCUCUUAUUCAAGAAUCCUUUUAUGCUAUCCAGAUUUUCUAUAUCAUUUCCAAUCAACAAUAUGUCUGUUGGGGAUCGUUGCAGAAAUUAAAAAUUUUCUACGCAUCACCAAGAUCAAUCUAUGGAGUAACUAGCAACGAGAUAGAGGGGAGUGCAUCUUCAUACCCUUGAAGAUCGCGAGUCGGAAGCGUUGCAAGAAGGUGGUUGGAGGAGUCGUACACGUAGCGAUUCAGAUCGCGGCCGAAUCCAAUCUAAGCAACGAACAACGGUGCCUCCGCGUUCAGUACACGUGCAGCCCGGUGACGUCUCCCGUGCCUUGAUCCAGCAAGGAGGAGGGAGAGCUUAAGGAAGAGGGAUCCAACAGCAGCACGACAGCGUGGUGGUGGUGGAGUGGUAGUUCUCCGGCAGGGCUUCACCAAGCUCUUGUGGAGGAGGAGAGGUGUUGGGGAGGGGAGGAGCUGCGCCUUGGAUGUUGUGUUGCAGCCCUCCCCUCGCCCCUCUAUUUAUAGGGAGAAGGGGGAAGGGGGCCGGCCCCCUCUAUAUGAUAUCUAGAGGGGGGGGGGCAAGGGGAGGAGGCUUGCCCCCCAAGCAAGGGGGGGUGCCCCCUUUAGGGUUUCCCCCCCAACCCUAGGCGCAUGGGCCCUACGGGGUGGCGCCCAGCCCUCCAAGGCGCUGGUUCCCUUCCCUCUACAGCCCAUGAGGCCCUCCGAGACAGGUGGCCCCUCCCGGUGGACCCCCGGAACCCCUCCGGUGGCCCUGGAACAAUACCGGUAUGCCCCCGAAUAUUUCCGGUGACCGUAUGACAACUUCCCAUAUAUAAAUCUUCACCUCCGGACCAUUCUGGAACUCCUCGUGACGUCCGGGAUCUCAUCCGGGACUCCGAACAACAUUUGGUAAUCACAUACAACUCUUCCUAAUAACCCUAGCGUCAUCGAACCUUAAGUGUGUAGACCCUACGGGUUCGGGAAUCACGCAGACAUGACCGAGACAGCUCUCCGGCCAAUAACCAACAACGGGAUCUGGAUACCCAUAUUGGCUCCCACAUGUUCCACGACGAUCUCAUUAGAUGAACCACAAUGUCGAGGAUUCAAGCAAUCCCGUAUACAAUUCCCUUUGUCAAUCGGCACGUUACUUGCCCGAGAUUCGAUCGUCGGUAUCCCAAUACCUCAUUCAAUCUCGUUAUCGGCAAGUCACUUUACUCGUUCCGUAAUGCAUGAUCCCGUGACCAACCACUUGGUCACAUUGAGCUCAUUAUGAUGAUGCAUUACCGAGUGGGCCUAGAGAUACCUCUCCGUCAUACGGAGUGACAAAUCCCAGUCUCGAUUCAUGCCAACCUAACAGACACUUUCGGAGAUACCUGUAGAGCACCUUUAUAGUCACCCAGUUACGUUGUGACGUUUGGUACACCCAAAGCACUCCUACAGUAUCCGGGAGUUACACAAUCUCAUGGUCUAAGGAAAUGAUACUUGACAUUAGAAAAGCUCUAGCAAACGAACUACAUGAUCUUGUGCUAUGCUUAGGAUUGGGUCUUGUCCAUCACAUCAUUCUCCUAAUGACGUGAUCCCGUUACCAAUGACAUCCAAUGUCCAUAGUCAAGAAACCAUGACCAUCUGUUGAUCAACGAGCUAGUCAACUAGAGGCUCACUAGGGACAUGGUGUGGUCUAUGUAUUCACACAUGUAUUAUGGUUUCCGAUCAAUACAAUUAUAGCAUGAACAAUAGACAAUUAUCAUGAACAAGGAAAUAUAAUAAUAACCAUUUUAUUAUUGCCUCUAGGGCAUAUUUCCAACAGUCUCCCACUUGCACUAGAGUCAAUAAUCUAGUUACAUUGUGAUGAAUCGAACACCCAUGGAGUUCUAGUGUUGAUCAUGUUUUGCUCGCGAAAGAGGUUUAGUCAACGGAUCUGUGACAUUCAGAUCCGUAUGCACUUUACAAAUAUCUAUGUCUCCAUCUUGAACUUUUUCACGAAUGGAGUUGAAGUGACGCUUGAUGUGUCUGGUCUUCUUGUGAAACUUGGGCUCCUUGGCAAGGGCAAUAGCUCCAGUGUUGUCACAAAAGAGAGUCAUCGGGCCCGACGCAUUGGGAAUAACUCCUAGGUCGGUAAUGAACUCCUUUAUCUAGAUUGCUUCAUGUGCUGCCUCCGAGGCUACCAUGUACUCCGCUUCACAUGUAGAUCCCGCCACGACGCUUUGCUUGCAACUGCACUAGCUUACUGCCCCACCAUUCAAAAUAUACACGUAUCCGGUUUGUGACUUGGAGUCAUCCAGAUCUGUGUCAAAGCUAGCAUUGACGUAACCCUUUACGACGAGCUCUUCGUCACCUCCAUAAACGAGAAACAUAUCCUUAGUCCUUUUCAGGUACUUCAGGAUAUUCUUGACCGAUGUCUAGUGUUCCGGGAUUACUUUGGUACCUUCCUACCAAACUUACGGAAAGGUUUACAUCAGGUCUGGUACAUAGCAUGGCAUACAUAAUAGACCCUAUGGCUGAGGCAUAGGGGAUGGCACUCAUCUUUUCUCUAUCUUCUGUUGUGGUCGGGCUUUGAGCUGAGCUCAAUUUCACACCUUGCAAUACAGGCAAGAACCCUUUCUUGGACUGAUCCAUAUUGAACUUCUUCAAUAUCUUAUCAAUGUAUGUGCUUUGUGAAAGACCUAUGAGGCGUCUCGAUCUAUCUCUAUAGAUCUUGAUGCCUAAUAUGUAAGCAGCUUCUCCAAGGUCCUUCAUUGAAAAACACUUAUUCAAGUAGGCCUUUAUGCUCUCCAAGAGUUCUAUAUCAUUUCCCAUCAACAGUAUGUCAUCUACAUAUAAUAUAAGAAAUGCUACAGAGCUCCCACUCACUUUCUUGUAAACACAGGCUUCUCCAUAAGUCUGCAUAAACCAAAAUGCUUUGAUCAUUUCAUCAAAGCGAAUGUUCCAACUCCGAGAUGCUUGCACCAGCCCAUAGAUGGAGCACUGGAGCUUGCAUACCUUAUUAGAAUUCUUAGGAUCGACAAAACCUUCCGGCUACAUCAUAUACAAUUCUUCCUUAAGAAAGCCGUCAAGGAAUGCCAUUUUGACGUCCAUUUGCCAUAUCUCAUGAUCGUAGAAUGCGGCAAUUGCUAACAUGAUUCGGACGGACUUAAGCUUCGCUACGGGUGAGAAGGUCUCAUCGUAGUCAACCCCUUGAACUUGUCGAUAACCCUUAGUGACAGAUCGAGCUUUAUAUAUGGUAACAUUACCAUCCGCAUCCGUCUUCUUCUUAAAGAUCCAUUUAUUUUCUACCGCUCGCCGAUCAUCGGGUAAGUCUGUCAAAGUCCAUACUUUGUUUUCAUACAUGGAUCCUAUCUCGGAUUGCAUGGCUUCAAGCCAUUUGUUGGAAUCUGGGCCUGCCAUCGCUUCUUCAUAGUUCGAAGGUUCACCGUUGUCUAACAACAUGAUUUCCAGGACAGGGUUGCCAUACCAUUCUGGUGUGGAACGUGUCCUCGUGGACCUAUGAAGUUCAGUAGCAACUUGAUCCGAAGUACCUUGAUCAUCAUCAUUAACCUCCUCUCUAGCUAGUGCAGGCACCACAGAAACAUCUUCCUGAGCUGCGCUACUUUCUGCUUCAAGAGGCAGUACUUCAUCAAGUUCUACUUUCCUCCCACUUACUUCUUUCGAGAGAAACUCUUUCUCCAGAAAGGACCCAUUCUUGGCAACAAAGAUCUUGCCUUCGGAUAUGAGGUAGAAGGUAUACCCAAUGUUUUCCUUAGGGUAUCCUAUGAAGACGCAUUUUUCCGACUUGGGUUCGAGCUUUUCAGGUUGAAGUUUCUUGACAUAAGCAUCACAUCCCCAAACUUUUAGAAAUGACAGCUUAGGUUUCUUCCCAAACCAUAAUUCAUACGGUGUUGUCUCAACGGAUUUCAACGGAGCCCUAUUUAAAGUGAAUGCGGCAGUCUCUAAAGCAUAGCCCCAAAAUGAGAGCUGUAGAUCGGUAAGAGACAUCAUAGAUCGCACCAUAUCCAAUAGAGUGCGAUUGCGACGUUCGGACACACCAUUACGCUGAGGUGUUCCAGGAGGCGUGAGUUGUUAAACGAUUCCACAUUUCCUUGUGUGUGCCAAAUUCGUGACUUAAAUAUUCCCCUCCACGAUCUGAUCGUAAGAACUUUAUUUUUCUAUCACGUUGAUUUUCAACCUCACUCUGAAAUUCCUUGAACUUUUCAAAGGUCUUAGGCUUGUGUUUCAUUAAGUAGACAUACCCAUAUCUACUUAAGUCAUCAGUGAGGGUGAGAACAUAACGAUAGCCACCGUGAGCCUCAACGCUCAUUGGACCGCACACAUCAGUAUGUAUGAUUUCCAAUAAGUUGGUUGCUCCUCCAUUGUUCAGGAGAACAGAGUCUUGGUCAUUUUGCCCAUGAGGCAUGGUUCGCACGUGUCAAAUGAUUCAUAAUCAAGAGACUCCAAAAGUCCAUCUGCAUGGAGCUUCUUCAUGCAUUUGACACCAAUGUGACCAAGGCGGCAGUGCCACAAGUAUGUGGGACUAUCAUUAUCAACCUUACAUCUUUUGGUAUUCACACUAUGAAUAUGUGUAACAUUACGUUCGAGAUUCAUUAAGAAUAAACCAUUGACCAGCGGGGCAUGACCAUAAAACAUAUCUCUCAUAUAAAUAGAACAACCAUUAUUCUUAGAUUUAAAUGAGUAGCCAUCUCGUAUUAAACGAGAUCCAGAUACAAUGUUCAUGCUCAAAGCUGGCACUAAAUAACAAUUAUUGAGGUUUAAAACUAAUCCCGUAGGUAAAUGUAGAGGUAGCGUGCCGACGGCGAUCACAUUGACCUUGGAACCAUUCCCGACGCGCAUCGUCACCUCGUCCUUCGCUAGUCUCCGCUUAUUCCACAACUCCUGAUUUGAGUUACAAAUAUGAGCAACCGCACCGGUAUCAAAUACCCAGGAGUUACUACGAGUACUGGUAAGGUACACAUCAAUAACAUGUAUAUCACAUAUACCUUUGGUGUUGCCGGCCUUCUUGUCCGCUAAGUACUUGGGGUAGUUCCGCUUCCAGUGACCACUUCCCUUGCAAUAAAAACACCCAGUCUCAGGCUUGGGUCCAUUCUUUGGCUUCUUCCCGGCAGCUUGCUUGCCGGGCACGGCACCUCCCUUGCCGUCUUUCUUGAAACCCUUUUUACCAUUGCCUUUCUUGAACUUAGUGGUUUUAUUCACCAUCAACACUUGAUGUUCCUUUUUGAUUUCCACCUCCGCUGAUUUCAGCAUUGAAUAUACUUCAGGAAUGGUUUUCUCCAUCCCCUGCAUAUUGAAGUUCAUCACAAAGCUCUUGUAGCUCGGUGGAAGCGACUAAAGGAUUCUAUCAACGACCACGUCAUCCGGGAGAUUAACUCCCAGCUGAGACAAGCGGUUGUGCAACCCAGACAUUUUGAGUAUGUGCUCACUGACGGAACUAUUCUCCUCCAUCUUACAACUGUAGAAGUUGUCGGAGACUUCAUAUCUCUUGACCCGAGCAUGAGCUUGGAAAACCAUUUUCAGCUCUUGGAACAUCUCAUAUGCUCCAUGCUGCUCGAAACGCUUUUGGGGCCCCGGUUCUAAGCUGUAAAGCAUGCCACACUGAACCAGGGAGUAAUUAUCAGCACGCGACUGCCAAGCGUUCAUAACAUCUUGGUUCGCUGGGACAAGUGCUUCACCUAGCGGUGCUUCAAGGACAUAUGCUUUCUUGGCAGCUAUGAGGAUGAUCCUCAAGUUCCGGACCCAGUCCGUAUAGUUGCUACCAUCGUCUUUCAGCUUGGUUUUCUCUAGGAACGCGUUGAAGUUGAGGACAACAUUCGCGUGGGCCAUUUGAGCUACAAGGCAUAUUGUAAAGAUUUUUGAACUAAGUUCAUGAUAAUUAAGUUCUUCUAAUCAAAUUAUUUAAUGAACUCCCACUCAGAUAGACAUCCCUCUAGUCAUCUAAGUGAUACACGAUCCGAGUCAACUAGGUCGUGUCCGAUCAUCACGUGAGACGGACUAGUCAUAAUCGGUGAACAUCUUCAUGUUGAUCGUAUCUUCCAUAUAACUCAUGUUCGACCUUUCAGUCUCUUGUGUUCCGAGGCCAUGUCUGUACAUGCAGCCUCGUCAAGUCAACCUAAGUGUUUUUGCAUGUGUAAAUCUAGCUUACACCCGUUGUAUGUGAACGUUAGAAUCUAUCACACCCGAUCAUCAUGUGGUGCUUCGAAACAAUGAACUUUCGCAACGGCGCACAGUUAGGGGGAACACUUUCUUGAAAUUAUUAUGAGGGAUCAUCUUAUUUAUGCUACCGUCGUUCUAAGCAAAUAAGAUGCAAAAACAUGAUAAAUAUCACAUGCAAUCAAAUAGUGACAUGAUAUGGCCAAUAUCAUUUUGCUCCUUUUGAUCUCCAUCUUCGGGGCGCCAUGAUCAUCAUCAUCACCGGCAUGACACCAUGAUCUCCAUCAUCAUGAUCUCCAUCAUCGUGUCUUCAUGAAGUUGUCUCGCCAACUAUUACUUCUACUACUAUGGCUAACGGUUUAGCAAUAAAGUAAAGUAAUUACAUGGCGUUAUUCAUUGACACGCAGGUCAUACAAUAAACUAAGACAACUCCUAUGGCUCCUGUCGGUUGCCAUACUCAUCGACAUGCAAGUCGUGAUUCCUAUUAAAAGAACAUGAUCAAUCUCAUACAUCACAUAUAUAUCAUUCAUCACAUCCUUUUGGCCAUAUCACAUCACAUGGCAUAUGCUGCAAAAACAAGUUAGACAUCCUCUAAUUGUUGUUGCAAGUUUUUACGUGGCUGCUGUAGGUUUCUAGCAAGAAUGUUUCUUACCUACGCCAAAACCACAACGUGAUAUGCCAAUUUCUAUUUACCCUUCAUAAGGACCCUUUUCAUCAAAUCUGAUCCGACUAAAGUGGGAGAGACAGACACCCGCUAGCCACCUUAUGCAACUAGUGCAUGUCAGUCGGUGGAACCUGUCUCACGUAAGCGUACGUGUAAGGUCGGUCCGGGCCGCUUCAUCACACGAUGCCGCUGAAACAAGAUAAUACUAGUAGUGGCAAGUAAAUUGACAAUAUCGACACCCACAACAAACUUGUGUUCUACUCGUGCAUAGAAACUACGCAUAGACCUAGCUCAUGAUGCCACUAUUGGGGAUCGUUGCAGAAUUAAAAAAUUUCUAUGCAUCACCAUGAUCAAUCUAUGGAGUAACUAGCAACGGGAUAGAAGGGAGUGCAUCUUCAUACCCUUGAAGAUCGCGAGCUGGAAGCGUUGCAAGAACGCGGUUGGAGGAGUCGUACACGUAGCGAUUCAGAUCGCGACCGAAUCCGAUCUAAGCACCGAACAACGGUGCCUCUGCGUUCAACACACGUGCAGCCCGGUGAUGUCUACUGCGCCUUGAUCCAGCAAGGAGGAGGGAGAGGUUGAGGAAGAGGGCUCCAACACCAGCACGACAGCGUGGUGGUGGUGGAGUGGCAGUUCUCCGGUAGGGCUUCACCAAGCUCUUGCGGAGGAGGAGAGGUGUUGGGGAGGAGAGGGGCUGCGCCUUGGAUGUUGUGUUGCAGCCCUCCCCUCGCCCCUCUAUUUAUAGGGAGAAGGGGGCUGUCCCCCUCUAGAUGAGAUCUAGGGGGGGGGGGCCAAGGGGAGGAGGCUUGCCCCCCAAGCAAGGGGGCGCCCCCUUUAGGGUUUCCCCCCAACCCUAGGCGCAUGGGCCCUAGGGGGGUGACACGCAGCCCUCCAAGGGGCUGGUUCCCUUCCCUCUACAGCCCAUGAGGCCCUCCGGGACAGGUGGCCCCUCCCGGUGGACCCCUGGAACCCCUCCGGUGGCCCCGGUACAAUAUCGGUAUGCCCUCGAAUAUUUCCGGUGACCGUAUGACAACUUCCCAUAUAUACGUCUUCACCUCCGGACCAUUCCGGAACUCCUCGUGACAUCCGGGAUCUCAUCCGGGACUCCGAACAACAUUCGGUAAUCACAUACAAAUCUUCCUAAUAACCCUAGCGUCAUCGAACCUUAAGUGUGUAGACCCUACGGGUUCGGGAAUCACGCAGACAUGACCGAGACAGCUCUCCGGCCAAUAACCAACAGCGGGAUCUGGAUACCCAUGUUGGCCCCGACAUGUUCCACAACGAUCUCAUCGGAUGAACCAUGAUGUCGAGGAUUUAAGCAAUCCCUUAUACAAUUCCCUUUGUCAAUCGACACGUUACUUGCCCGAGAUUCGAUCGUCGGUAUCCCAAUACCUCGUUCAAUCUCGUUACCAGCAAGUCACUUUACUCAUUCCGUAAUGCAUGAUCCGUGACCAACCACUUGGUCACAUUGAGCUCAUUAUGAUGAUGCAUUACCGAGUGGCCCAGAGAUACCUCUCCGUCAUACGGAGUGACAAAUCCCAGUCUCGAUUCGUGCCAACCCAACAUACACUUUCAAAGAUACCUGUAGAGCACCUUUAUAGUCAGCCAGUUACGUUGUGACGUUUGGUACACCCAAAGCACUCCUACGGUAUCCGGGAGUUACACAAUCUCAUGGUCUAAGGAAAUGAUACUUGACAUUAGAAAAGCUCUAGCAAACGAACUACACGAUCUUGUGCUAUGCUUAGGAUUGGGUCUUGUCCAUCACAUCAUUCUCCUAAUGAUGUGAUCCCGUUAUCAAUGACAUCCAGUGUCCAUAGUCAGGAAACCAUGACCAUCUGUUGAUCAAUGAGCUAGUCAACUAGAGGCUCACUAGGGACAUGGUGCGGUCUAUGUAUUCACACAUGUAUUACAGUUUCCGAUCAAUACAAUUAUAGCAUGAACAAUAGACAAUUAUCAUGAACAAGGAAAUAUAAUAAGAACCAUUUUAUUAUUGCCUCUAGGGCAUAUUUCCAACAAUGUCAUCUACAUAUAGUUUUAGAAAUGCUACAUAGCUCCCACUCACUUUCUUGUAAAUACAGGCUUCUCCAAAACUCUGUGUAAAACCAUAUGCUUUGAUCAAUUCAUCAAAGCGUAUAUUCUAACUCCGAGAUGCUUACACCAUAGAUGGAUCGCUAGAGCUUGCACAUUUUGUUAGUACCUUUAGGAUUGACAAAACCUUCUGGUUGCAUCAUAUACAACUCUUUUUUAAUAAAUCCAGUAAGAAAUGCAGUUUUGACAUCCAUUUGCCAGAUUUCACAAAAUGUGGAAAUUGCUAACAUGAUUCGGACAAACUUAAGCAUUGAUACUAGUGAGAAAAUCUCACCGUAUUCAACACCUUGAACUUGUCGAAAAACUUUUUGCGACAAGUCGAGCUUUGUAGAUAGUAACACUAUUAUCAGCGUCUGUCUUCCUCUUGAAGAUCCAUUUAUUUUCUAUGGCUUGCCGAUCAUCGGGCAACUCCACCAAAGUCCACACUUUGUUCUCAUACAUGGAUCCCAUCUCAGAUUUCAUGGCCUCAAACCAUUUUGCGGAAUCUGAGCUCAUCAUCGCUUUCUCAUAGUUCAUAGGUUCAUCAUGAUCUAGUAACAUGACUUCUAGAACAGGAGUACCGUACCACUCUGGUGCGGACUGUACUUUGGAAGACCUACGGGGUUCUGUAGUAACUUAAUCUUAAGUUUCAUGAUCAUCAUCAUUAGCUUCCUCACUAAUUGGUGUAGGAAUCACCGGAACUAAUUUCUGUGAUGAACUACUUUCCAAUUUGGGAGAAGGUACAAUUACCUUAUCAAGCUCUACUUUCCUCCCACUCACUUCUUUCGAGAGAAACUCCUUCUCUAGAAAGGAUCCAUCUUAGCAACGAAUAUCUUGCCUUCGGAUCUGUGAUAGAAGGUGUACCCAACAGUUUCCUUUGGGUAUUCUAUGAAUACACACUUCUUCGAUUUGGGUUCGAGCUUAUCAGGUUGAAACUUUUUCACAUAAGCAUCGCAGUCCCAAACUUUAAGAAACGACAUCUUUUCUUUCUUGCCAAACCACAAUUCAUAAAGCAUCAUCUCAACGGAUUUUGAUGGUGCCCUAUUUAAAGUGAAUGCAGCUGUCUCUAAUGCAUAACCCCAAAACGAUAGUGGUAAAUCGGUAAGAUACAUCAUAGAUCGCACCAUAUCCAAUAAAGUGCGGUUACGACAUUCGGACACACCAUUAUGUUGUGGUGUUCCAUGUGGCGUGAGCUGUGAAACUAUUCCACAUUGUUUUUAAAUGAAGGCCAAACUCGUAACUCAAAUAUUCUCCUCUACGAUCAGAUUGUAGAAACUUUAUUUUCUUGUUACAAUGAUUCUCCACUUCACUCUGAAAUUCUUUGAACUUUUCAAAUGUUUCAGACUUGUGCUUCAUUAAUUAGAUAUACUCAUAUCUGCUCAAAUCAUCUGUGAAGGUUAGAAAAUAAUGAUACCCGCCAUGAGCAUCAACACUCAUUAGACCGCAUACAUCGGUAUGUAUUAUUUCCAACAAGUCAGUAGCUCGUUCCAUUGUUCCGAAGAACGGAGUUUUAGUCAUCUUGCCCAAAAGGCAUGGCUCGCAAGCAUCAAAUGAUUCAUAACCAAGUGAUUCCAAAAAUCCAUCUUUAUGGAGUUUCUUCAUGCGCUUUACACUGAUAUGACCCAAAUGGCAGUGCCACAAAUAAGUUGCACUAUCAUUACCAACUUUGCAUCUUUUGGCAUCAAUAUUAUGAAUAUGUGUAUCACUACGAUCGAGAUUCAACAAACUAUUUUAUUGGGUGUAUGACCAUCGAAGGUUUUAUUCAUGUAAACAGAACAACAAUUAUUCUUUGAUUUUAAAUGAAUAACCUUAUUGCAAUAACCAUGAUCAAAUCAUAUUCAUGCUCAACACAAACGCCAAAUAACAUUUAUUUAGGUUUAACACUAAUCCUGAAAGUAUAGGGAAUGUGCGAUGAUGAUCAUAUCAAUCUUGGAACCACUUCCAACACACAUCGUCACUUCAACCUCAACUAGUCUCUAUUUAUUCUGUAAUUCCUGUUUCGAGUUACUAAUUUUUAGCAACCGAACAAGUAUCAACUACCCAGGGGCUACUAUAAACACUAGUAAGGUACACAUCAAUAACAUGUAUAUCAAAUAUACCCUUGUUCACUUUGCCAUCCUACUUAUCCACCAAAUAUUCAGGGUAUUUCCGCUUCCAGUGACCAUUUCCUUUGCAGUAGAAGCACUCAGUUUGAGGCUUUGGUCCAGCUUUGGGCUUCUUCACGGGAGUGACAACUUGCUUGCCAUUCUACUUGAAGUUUCCCUUUCUUUCCCUUUUCUUGAAACUAGUUGUCUUGUCAAUCAUCAACACUUGAUCCUCUUUCUUGAUUUCUACCUUCAUCGGUUUCAACAUCACGAAGAGCUCAUGAAUUGUUUUCGUCAUCCCUUGCAUACUAUAGUUCAUCACGAAGUUCUAGUAACUUGGUGAUGGUGACUAGAGAACUCUGUCAAUCACUAUCUUAUCUGGAAGAUUAACCCGCACUUGAUUCAAGCGAUUGUAGUACCCAGACAAUCUAAGCACAUGCUCACUAGUUGAGCAAUUCUCCUCCAUCUUUUAGCUAUAGAACUUGUUGGAGACUUCAUAUCUCUCAACUCGGGUAUUUGAUUGAAAUAUUAACUUCAACUCCUGGAACAUCUCAUAUGGUCCAUGACGUUCAAAACGUCUCUGAAGUCCCGAUUCUAAGCCAUUAAGUAUGGUGCACUAAACUAUCAAGUAGUCAUCAUAUUGAGCUAGCCAAAACGUUCAUAACAUCUGCAUAUGCUCCUGCAAUAGGUUUGUCACCUAGCGGUGCAUCAAGGACAUAAUUCUUCUGUGCAACAAUGAGGAUAAACCUCAGAUCACGGACCCAGUCUGCAUUAUUGCUACUAUCAUCUUUCAACUUAGUUUUCUCUAGGAACACAUAUAAAACACAGGGAAGCAACAACGCGAGCUAUUGAUCUACAAUAUUAUUUGCAAAAUACUAUCAGGACUAAGUUCAUGAUAGAUUAAAGUUCAAUUAAUCAUAUUACUUAAGAACUCCCACUUAGAUAGACAUCCCUCUAAUCAUUUAAGUGAUCACAUGAUCCAAAUCAACUAAACCAUGUCCGAUCAUCACGUGAGAUGGAGUAGUUUUCAAUGGUGAACAUCACUAUGUUGAUCACAUCUACUAUAUGAUUCACGCUCGACCUUUCGGUCUCAGUGUUCCGAGGCCAUAUCUGCAUAUGCUAGGCUCGUCAAGUUUAACCCGAGUAUUCUGUGUGUGCAAAACUGUCUUACACUCGUUGUAUUUGAACGUAGAGCUUAUCACACCCGAUAAUCACGUGGUGUCUCAGCACGAAGAACUAUCUCAACGGUGCAUACUCAGGGAGAACACUUAUACCUUGAAAUUUUAGUAAGGGAUCAUCUUAUAAAGCUACCGCCGAACUAAGCAAAAUAAGAUGUAUAAAAGAUAACAUCAUAUGCAAUCAAAAUAUGUGACAUGAUAUGGCCAUGAUCAUCUUGCGCCUUUGAUCUCCAUCUCCAAAGUACUGUCAUGAUCUCUAUCGUCACUGACACGACACCAUGAUCCGCAUCAUCUUGAUCUAUAUCAAUGUGUCGUCACAUGGUCGUCUCACCAACUAUUGCUCUUGCAACUAUUGCUAUCGUAUAGCGAUAAAGUAAAGCAAUUAUUUGGCGCUUGCAUCUUAUGCAAUAAAGAGACAACCAUAAGGCUACUACCAGUUGCCGAUAACUUUAAGAAAACAUGAUCAUCUCAUACAACAACUUAUAUCUCAUCAUGUCUUGACCAUAUCACAUCACAACAAGCCCUGCAAAAACAAGUUAGACGUCCUCUACUUUAUUGUUGCAAGUUUUACGUGGCUGCUACGGGCUGAGCAAGAACCGUUCUUACCUACGCAUCAAAACCACAAUGAUAUUUCGUCAAGUUAGUGUUGUUUGAACCUUCAACAAGGACCUGGCGUAGCACACUGGAUUCAACUAAAGUUGGAGAAAGUGACACCCGCCAGCCACCUGUGUGCAAAGCACGUCGGUAGAACCAGUCUCGCGUAAGCGUACGCGUAAUGUCGGUCCGGGCCGCUUCAUCCAACAAUACCGCCAAACAAAAGUAUGACAUGCAGGUAAGCAGUAUGACUUGUAUGGCCCACAACUCACUUGUGUUCUACUCGUGCAUAUAACAUCUAUGCAUAAACCUGGCUCUGAUACCACUGUUGGGGAACGUAGUAAUUUCAAAAAAAUUCCUAUGCACAUGCAAGAUCAUGGUGAUGCAUAACAACGAGAGGGGAGAGUGUUGUCCUUGUACCAUCGUAGACCUUAAGUCGAAGCAUUAGCACAACGCGGUUGAUGUAGUCAUACGUCCUCACGAUCCGACCGAUCCAAGUACCGAACAUACGACACCUUCGAGUUCAGCACAUGUUCAGCUCGAUGACGUCCCACGAACUCCGAUCCAGCAGAGCUUUGCGGGAGAGUUUCGUCAGCACGAUGGCAUGAUGACAGUGUUGAUGAUGCUACCGACGCAGGGCUCCUCCUAAGCACCGCCACGAUAUUACCAAAGUGGAAUAUGGUGAAGGGGGGCACCGCACACGGCUAAGAGAUCAAGAGAUCAAUUGUUGUGUCUUGAGGUCCCCCCUGCCCCCGUAUAUAAAGGAUCAAGGGGGAGGGGGCGGCCGACCAGGAGGAGGCGCGCCAGGGAGGAGUCCUACUCCCACCGGGAGUAGGACUCCCUCCUUUCCUAGUUGGAGUAGGAGGGGGGAGGAAGGGAGAGAGGAGAGGAAGGAAAAGGGGGGGGGGUGUCCCCUCCUUGUCCUAUUCGGACUAGAGGGGGAGGGGGCGCGCGGCCUGCCCUGGCCGCCCCUCCUCUUCUCCACUAAGGCCCAUUAGGCCCACUAAAUCCCCUGGGGGGUUCCGGUAACCCCCGGUACUUCAAUAUAUGUCUGAAACCUCCCGAAACACUUCCGGUGUCCGAACAUAGUCAUCCAAUAUAUUGAUCUUUACGUCUCGACCAUUUCGUGACUCCUCGUCAUGUCCGUGGUCAUAUCCGGGACUCCGAACUACCUUCGGUACAUCAAAACACAAAAACUCAUAAUACCAAUCGUCAUCGAACUUUAAGCGUGCGGACCCUACGGGUUCGAGAACUAUGUAGACAUGACCGAGACACGUCUCCGGUCAAUAACCAAUAGCGGAACCUGAAUGCUCAUAUUGGCUCCUACAUAUUCUACGAAGAUCUUUAUCGGUCAAACCGCAUAACAACAUAUGUUGUUCCCUUUGUCAUCGAUAUGUUACUUGCCCGAGAUUCGAUCGACAGUAUCUCAAUACCUAGUUCAAUCUCAUUACCAGCAAGUCUCUUUACUCGUUAUGUAAUGCAUCAUCCCACAACUAACUCAUUAGUCACAUUGCUUGCAAGGCUUAUAGUGAUGUGCAUUACCGAGAGGGCCCAGAGAUACCUCUCCGACAAUCGGAGUGACAAGUCCUAAUCUCGAAAUACGCCAACUCAACAAGUACCUUCGGGGACACCUGUAGAGCACCUUUAUAAUCACCCAGUUACGUUGUGACGUCUGGUAGCACACAAAGUGUUCCUCCGGUAAACGGGAGUUGCAUAAUCUCAUAGUCAUAGGAACAUGUAUAAGUCAUGAAGAAAUCAAUGGCAACAUACUAAAUGACCAAGUGCUAAGCUAACGGAAUGGGUCAAAUCAAUCACAUCAUUCUUUAAUGAUGUGAUCCCGUUAAUCAAAUGACAACUCAUGUCUAUGGCUAGGAAACUUAACCAUCUUUGAUUCAACGAGCUAGUCAAGUAGAGGCAUACUAGUGACACUUUGUUUUGUCUAUGUAUUCUCACAUGUACUAAGUUUCUGGUUAAUACAAUUCUAGCAUGAAUAAUAAAUAUUUAUCAUGAAAUAAGAAAAUAAAUAAUGACUUCAUUAUUGCCUCUAGGGCAUAUUUCCUUCAGUGCAUGCAUUCUAUGCUACCAAGCAUCCCUGGGAAGCCCCUGCUGGCAUUCAUCACCAAUAAACGGGCUGUAUCUUUAGCAGUCGGCUCUCUCAAGUACUCAGGGCCAAACACAGCAAUAGCAGCCUUGCAGAACUUAUACAGGGACUCUAGGCAUGUAGACUCGCUCAUACGGACGUACUCAUUAGUGAGAUCACCGGGCACUCCAUAUGCAAGCAUUCAGAUGGCGGCAGUGCAUUUCUGAUAAGAGGAGAAACCAAUCUUGCCAACGACAUCCUCUUUGCACUCGAAAUAGUCAUCAUAGUCGACCACCCCCUCUCUAAUACAGUUUAAAAGAUGCCUACUCAUACGGAAACAACGGCGGAAUUUUUGAUGUUUGAACAACGGAUUUGUUGUAUCAAAGUAGUCAUUCCAAAGAAGGAAAUACCCGCUCUCUCGGUUGCGAUUCAACACCGGAAGGUGUCCCGGAAUGGAGCCAUGAAACAACAACCGCGGGUUGUUGAGGUGAUGAUGGACCAACACAGCAGCCAAUAUCUCCUCCUCGUCAUCGAACGACGAAUCGUCAGAGUCGCAAAGGAAAUUGUGAAAAAAGAACUUGUCGACGGAGUCCAUUUUGUACCUUGGCAAACUGUCGAACAGCUUGCGGGCGUCGACGAAGGGAGUCACGGCACGCACGGACCAGCUAGCUGCCUUGCCGGCGUCCAACGAGCGUGCCGGUGAGGAUCUGGCCGGGGCGGUGAGGCGGCUUCUUGGUCGGUGGCGGUUGUGUCNNNNNNNNNNNNNNNNNNNNNNNNNNNNNNNNNNNNNNNNNNNNNNNNNNNNNNNNNNNNNNNNNNNNNNNNNNNNNNNNNNNNNNNNNNNNNNNNNNNNNNNNNNNNNNNNNNNNNNNNNNNNNNNNNNNNNNNNNNNNNNNNNNNNNNNNNNNNNNNNNNNNNNNNNNNNNNNNNNNNNNNNNNNNNNNNNNNNNNNNNNNNNNNNNNNNNNNNNNNNNNNNNNNNNNNNNNNNNNNNNNNNNNNNNNNNNNNNNNNNNNNNNNNNNNNNNNNNNNNNNNNNNNNNNNNNNNNNNNNNNNNNNNNNNNNNNNNNNNNNNNNNNNNNNNNNNNNNNNNNNNNNNNNNNNNNNNNNNNNNNNNNNNNNNNNNNNNNNNNNNNNNNNNNNNNNNNNNNNNNNNNNNNNNNNNNNNNNNNNNNNNNNNNNNNNNNNNNNNNNNNNNNNNNNNNNNNNNNNNNNNNNNNNNNNNNNNNNNNNNNNNNNNNNNNNNNNNNNNNNNNNNNNNNNNNNNNNNNNNNNNNNNNNNNNNNNNNNNNNNNNNNNNNNNNNNNNNNNNNNNNNNNNNNNNNNNNNNNNNNNNNNNNNNNNNNNNNNNNNNNNNNNNNNNNNNNNNNNNNNNNNNNNNNNNNNNNNNNNNNNNNNNNNNNNNNNNNNNNNNNNNNNNNNNNNNNNNNNNNNNNNNNNNNNNNNNNNNNNNNNNNNNNNNNNNNNNNNNNNNNNNNNNNNNNNNNNNNNNNNNNNNNNNNNNNNNNNNNNNNNNNNNNNNNNNNNNNNNNNNNNNNNNNNNNNNNNNNNNNNNNNNNNNNNNNNNNNNNNNNNNNNNNNNNNNNNNNNNNNNNNNNNNNNNNNNNNNNNNNNNNNNNNNNNNNNNNNNNNNNNNNGCUUGCGGGCGUCGACGAAGGGAGUCACGGCACGCACGGACCAGCUAGCUGCCUUGCCGGCGUCCAACGAGCGUGCCGGUGAGGAUCUGGCCGGGGCGGUGAGGCGGCUUCUUGGUCGGUGGGGUUGUGUCUUGGUGGUGGUGGUGGUGGUGGUGGGGGGGGGAAGCAGUCGGCUCCCCGGCGACAAGACAACGGUGGCAGGCGACGUGGGAGUGGGCGGUAUUGCUGGGCGGAUGUGAAGGCGCCGGCAGCUGGCAGAGUCGCCGAAAAAAUGGGCGACGACGUCGGCGACGAAGAAGGCGGGCGAGGGUUGCUCUUCGAUGGGGAAGGCCAAUGUGCCACCGACCAGCAGGCCAGAGGGAGGAGAAGGCGAGCGUGCGUGCGUCCGUCGUGUGUCCGCGCCGACGCAAAUCCGGCUCAAAAAUGAGCUGGGAAUGGGUCGCCCGUGAAAGAAAAACGGACGCACGUCCAUUUGGGUCGGCACGUUGGGCCACCUUUUGUGUCCGCCUCGACCCAAACGGACGGCGGCGGACGAAAUGGGUCGCCCCAUUGGAGUUGCUCUAAGUACUCCCUCCGUCCGGAAAUAGUCAUCAUCAAAAUGGAUAUAAGGGGGUGUAUCUAGAUGUAUUUUAGUUCUAAAUACAUCUUUUUUUAUCCAUUUUGAAGACAAAUAUUUUCGGACAGAGGGAGUAGCUUGUUCCACUUCUUAUUGUUUAUAAAACCAACAGGAAGCAUCUGAUCCAUGAUUUUGAGUUUUGCGAUGGCAUGACGAUGUUUUGCAGGGAGACAACCCAGCUUGGAGCUCUCUUUUACCCUGAUUGAUAAAAAUUAUGAGAAAAGAGGGUAGUUGCUACUUGCUUCUUGAUCUCGAUGUUAAGCCCUAGCAUCUAAAGAAAAAAAAACUUCAGCCUAGCAAAACAGAAAAAAACACGUCCAUUUGGGUCGGCACGUUGGGCCACCUUUUGUGUCCGCCUCGACCCAAACGGACGGCGGCGGACGAAAUGGGUUGCCCCAUUGGAGUUGCUCUAAGUACUCCCUCCGUCCGGAAAUAGUCAUCAUCAAAAUGGAUAUAAGGGGGUGUAUCUAGAUGUAUUUUAGUUCUAAAUACAUCUUUUUUUAUCCAUUUUGAAGACAAAUAUUUUCGGACGGAGGGAGUAGUUUGUUCCACUUCUUAUUGUUUAUAAAACCAACAGGAAGUAUCUGAUCCAUGAUUUUGAGUUUUGCGAUGGCAUGACGAUGUUUUGCAGGGAGACAACCCAGCUUGGAGCUCUCUUUUACCCUGAUUGAUAAAAAUUAUGAGAAAAGAGGGUAGUUGCUACUUGCUUCUUGAUCUCGAUGUUAAGCCCUAGCAUCUAAAGAAAAAAAAACUUCAGCCUAGCAAAACAGAAAAAAACACGUCCAUUUGGGUCGGCACGUUGGGCCACCUUUUGUGUCCGCCUCGACCCAAACGGACGGCGGCGGACGAAAUGGGUUGCCCCAUUGGAGUUGCUCUAAGUACUCCCUCCGUCCGGAAAUAGUCAUCAUCAAAAUGGAUAUAAGGGGGUGUAUCUAGAUGUAUUUUAGUUCUAAAUACAUCUUUUUUUAUCCAUUUUGAAGACAAAUAUUUUCGGACGGAGGGAGUAGUUUGUUCCACUUCUUAUUGUUUAUAAAACCAACAGGAAGUAUCUGAUCCAUGAUUUUGAGUUUUGCGAUGGCAUGACGAUGUUUUGCAGGGAGACAACCCAGCUUGGAGCUCUCUUUUACCCUGAUUGAUAAAAAUUAUGAGAAAAGAGGGUAGUUGCUACUUGCUUCUUGAUCUCGAUGUUAAGCCCUAGCAUCUAAAGAAAAAAAAACUUCAGCCUAGCAAAACAGAAAAAAAAUGUUUGGAGAAGUGGGGUACCGAUCCCCAUCCCUCUCGCAUGCUAAGCGAGCGCUCUACCAUCUGAGCUACAUCCCCAAGUGUUAUACUUUUCAAAACAUGCUCACAUAUAUACACCGUCUAGAGACCUAUUUCUGUGGAAAGAAAAAAUAUUCUUCUGCUUCCCGUCAUUCCGUGAUAUGUUCAGUCCAGUUUCUGAAACUGAAUCCUGUUUGGUUCAUUCGAUAAGGAACGAUGCCAGGCUCUCCUCUUGGCAUCAACUGAAGAUGCCAAUGUCUA
rnacentral:lncRNA from 1 species